rnacentral:lncRNA from 1 species
GGACGAUUUCUCAACGUUACCAUACCCAGCCCCGCAAAGACGGGUACAGGCCAGAAGUGAGGAAACUGUAUGCCAUUGCCACGGCUCCAACGUCGAUGGUGUUGCCGCCGUCACCGCCCGAAAACUGCUGUGGAUCUUCUCAAUGCGGAUUACCGUAAUGAAAGGAACAGAUUGUGACGGGCUGCAUUCACGACCUGCAUAUUUUGAGGACUUUUUCUUGUUCUUGGAC